rnacentral:rRNA from 1 species
AUUGAACGCUGGCGGCAGGCCUAACACAUGCAAGUCGAGCGAGCGGCGGACGGGUGAGUAAUGUAUGGGGACUGCCCGAUAGAGGGGGAUAACUACUGGAAACGGUAGCUAAUACCGCAUACUAUCGGAUAACCCAUAUGGGAUUAGCUAGUGGGUGGGGUAAUGGCUCACCUAGGCGACGAUCCCUCGCUGGUCUGAGAGGAUGAUCAGCCACCCUGGGACUGAGAACGGGCCCAGAUUCCUACGGAGGCAGCAGUGGGGAAUAUUGCACAAGGGGAGCAAUGCUGAUGCAGCCAUGCCGGUGGUAUGAAGAAGGCCCUAGGGUUGUAAAGUACUUUCAGUCGGGAGGCGUUACCGACAGAAGAAGCACCGGCUAACUCCGUGCCAGCAGCCCGGUAAUAC